AUGUUUAUUUGCUGUCGAAAAAGUUCUCUCACGUCACUUUGGGCCCAAGAGAAGAUAGAGUCCAAGUUUCUCACGUUCUGGAUUCAGAUUCGGACUGCACAGACAUACCUGACUCAAAACGCACACAAGUUUUUCAUACGGACUCCGAAUUGGGUGAUUCUUUUUUUGUUGGAAACUAGAUUUCGUGCACUUUCCAACCCAAUUGGAAUGACCUUCAAAUUCGUCCGGAGCGUUGAGUUGUGGACGAAACAAUCUGAUGCUGCAGCAGAAUCCGAGUCAAACUACAAGUCCAAAGGUGUUACAUCACCUCCACUUGGGCCCAUUGGCCUUGUACGACCUAGAUUUAGUUUUAGGCUGCCUUGGGAGGUCCUCCCACCUCCUUGGCCGCCACCCCUUGCUCCUAUAUAA
rnacentral:rRNA from 1 species